CUUUUUUGGCUCAGAGAUGUUUUAAAAUUAUUCAAAAAUUACUUGCUGUUUCUUCAAAAUAUCAUUUUGCUUUUUAAAUAGCACACAAGCAAUUCACUGUAAGGGUUCACUAUUCAAAUGUCAGAAGCCUUGGUGUGGUUGGCUUCUGAAGCAAUUUGGGAAUGUUUCGGGUUGGUAAUGGGUGAUUUAUGUAAUCCAAUGAAUUGCAAAUUGCAAGCACAACAAUGGAGAAUUAGAGCUAUCUUUGAAAGUGUGAUUUAUCCUUGUAGGCCUCAAGCUCUCCCAGUCUCCAAUGGUGACAAUAGCAUGCAGCACAGUGGAUGCUUUCAGACUGAGCUGCCUUGGGAAUUAUGGAUUGAGAUCAUGUCUUUGCAGCUUCCCAAGCUUUGCCCUUUCUCUUUGCUGUGAAAUUGGAGGAAACUGUUGAUCCCCCACUGAGAAAAAUGAAGGCACUCAUAGCCUGGAACUGAGCAUGGGUAUUUGUAACAACACCGUCAACAGCCUCAUUAAAGUGCUAUUUCUGAACAAGUGCUUGGCAUGAAAAAA
rnacentral:lncRNA from 1 species